rnacentral:rRNA from 1 species
GAGACCCACGCCAACAGUUGCCAGCUCGUCCUCCGGGAUGGUGGGGACACUGUUGGGACCGCCUCUGCUAAAGAGGAGGAAGGAAUGGGCAACGGUAGGUCAGCAUGCCCCGAAUUAUCCGGGCUACACGCGGGCUACAAUGGGUGGGACAAUGGGUAUCGACACCGAGAGGUGAAGGCAGUCUCCUAAGCCCAUCCUUAGUUCGGAUUGUGGGCUGCAACUCGCCCACAUGAAGCUGGAAUCUGUAGUAAUCGUGUCUCAACAUGGCACGGUGAAUAU